GUCGAACGCUGGCGGCGUGCUUAACACAUGCAAGUCGAACGGAAAGGCCCUGCUUUUGUGGGGUGCUCGAGUGGCGAACGGGUGAGUAACACGUGAGUAACCUGCCCUUGACUUUGGGAUAACUUCAGGAAACUGGGGCUAAUACCGGAUAGGAGCUCCUGCUGCAUGGUGGGGGUUGGAAAGUUUCGGCGGUUGGGGAUGGACUCGCGGCUUAUCAGCUUGUUGGUGGGGUAGUGGCUUACCAAGGCUUUGACGGGUAGCCGGCCUGAGAGGGUGACCGGCCACAUUGGGACUGAGAUACGGCCCAGACUCCUACGGGAGGCAGCAGUGGGGAAUAUUGCACAAUGGGCGGAAGCCUGAUGCAGCAACGCCGCGUGCGGGAUGACGGCCUUCGGGUUGUAAACCGCUUUCGCCUGUGACGAAGCGUGAGUGACGGUAAUGGGUAAAGAAGCACCGGCUAACUACGUGCCAGCAGCCGCGGUGAUACGUAGGGUGCGAGCGUUGUCCGGAUUUAUUGGGCGUAAAGGGCUCGUAGGUGGUUGAUCGCGUCGGAAGUGUAAUCUUGGGGCUUAACCCUGAGCGUGCUUUCGAUACGGGUUGACUUGAGGAAGGUAGGGGAGAAUGGAAUUCCUGGUGGAGCGGUGGAAUGCGCAGAUAUCAGGAGGAACACCAGUGGCGAAGGCGGUUCUCUGGGCCUUUCCUGACGCUGAGGAGCGAAAGCGUGGGGAGCGAACAGGCUUAGAUACCCUGGUAGUCCACGCUGUAAACGGUGGGUACUAGGUGUGGGGUCCAUUCCACGGGUUCCGUGCCGUAGCUAACGCUUUAAGUACCCCGCCUGGGGAGUACGGCCGCAAGGCUAAAACUCAAAGGAAUUGACGGGGCCCCGCACAAGCGGCGGAGCAUGCGGAUUAAUUCGAUGCAACGCGUAGAACCUUACCUGGGUUUGACAUGGAUCGGGAGUGCUCAGAGAUGGGUGUGCCUCUUUUGGGGUCGGUUCACAGGUGGUGCAUGCCUGUCGUCAGCUCGUGUCGUGAGAUGUUGGGUUAAGUCCCGCAACGAGCGCAACCCUUGUUCACUGUUGCCAGCACGUUAUGGUGGGGACUCAGUGGAGACCGCCGGGGUCAACUCGGAGGAAGGUGGGGAUGACGUCAAGUCAUCAUGCCCCUUAUGUCCAGGGCUUCACGCAUGCUACAAUGGCUGGUACAGAGAGUGGCGAGCCUGUGAGGGUGAGCGAAUCUCGGAAAGCCGGUCUCAGUUCGGAUUGGGGUCUGCAACUCGACCUCAUGCAGUCGGAGUCGCUAGUAAUCGCAGAUCAGCAACGCUGCGGGAAAGGGUUCCCGGGGC
rnacentral:rRNA from 1 species